rnacentral:rRNA from 1 species
CGGAGGUGGCGAGCGUUACUCGGAAUCAUUGGGUGUAAAGGGCAGGUAGGCGGUCUAUUUAGUGAGGGGUGAAAUCUCCCGGCUCAAUCGGGAAACUGCCUUUCAUACUGAUAGACUUGAGUGUGAUAGGGGGAAGCGGAAUUAGCAGUGUAAGGGUGAAAUCUGUAGAUAUUGCUAAGAACACCAGCGGCGAAGGCGGCUUCCUGGAUCACAACUGACGCUGAUCUGCGAAAGCUAGGGGAGCAAACAGAAUUAGAUACUCUGGUAGUCCUAGCCGUAAACGAUGAGUACUAGGUGUUGGACCGUAAGGUUCAGUGCCGCAGCUAACGCAUUAAGUACUCCACCUGAGGACUACGACCGCAAGGUUA